GGAGGAAUAUUGGACAAUGGAGGCAACUCUGAUCCAGCCAUGCCGCGUGAAGGAUUAAGGCCCUAUGGGUUGUAAACUUCUUUUAGACGGGACAAAACCCCUUUACGUGUAAAGGGUUGAUGGUACUGUCAGAAUAAGCAUCGGCUAACUUCGUGCCAGCAGCCGCGGUAAUACGAAGGAUGCAAGCGUUAUCCGGAAUUAUUGGGUUUAAAGGGUGCGUAGGCGGACUAAUAAGUCAGUGGUGAAAGCCUGCAGCUUAACUGCAGAAUUGCCGUUGAUACUGUUAGUCUUGAGUACAGUUGAGGUAGCGGAAUGUGUCGAUGUAGCGGUGAAAUGCUUAGAUAUGACACAGAACACCGAUUGCGAAGGCAGCUUGCUAAGCUGUAACUGACGCUGAGGC
rnacentral:rRNA from 1 species